rnacentral:rRNA from 1 species
UGCUCAGCCUGCCGGUCGACGAUUCCUACGGGAGGCAGCAGUGGGGAAUCUUAGACAAUGGGGGAAACCCUGAUCUAGCCAUGCCGCGUGAGUGAUGAAGGCCUUAGGGUCGUAAAGCUCUUUCGCCAGGGAUGAUAAUGACAGUACCUGGUAAAGAAACCCCGGCUAACUCCGUGCCAGCAGCCGCGGUAAUACGGAGGGGGUUAGCGUUGUUCGGAAUUACUGGGCGUAAAGCGCGCGUAGGCGGAUUAGUCAGUCAGAGGUGAAAUCCCAGGGCUCAACCCUGGAACUGCCUUUGAUACUGCUAGUCUAGAGUUCGAGAGAGGUGAGUGGAAUUCCGAGUGUAGAGGUGAAAUUCGUAGAUAUUCGGAGGAACACCAGUGGCGAAGGCGGCUCACUGGCUCGAUACUGACGCUGAGGUGCGAAAGUGUGGGGAGCAAACAGGAUUAGAUACCCUGGUAGUCCACACCGUAAACGAUGAAUGCCAGUCGUCGGCAAGUAUACUUGUCGGUGACACACCUAACGGAUUAAGCAUUCCGCCUGGGGAGUACGGUCGCAAGAUUAAAACUCAAAUGAAUUGACGG